rnacentral:tRNA from 1 species
UUAUUCUUAGUUUAAAUAAAACUAAUUUUUUCAAAAAUUUAAUGUCUUGAUGACAGUAUAAG